GCGGGGGAUAACUAUUGGAAACGAUAGCUAAUACCGCAUAAGAGUAGAUGUUGCAUGACAUUUGCUUAAAAGGUGCAAUUGCAUCACUACCAGAUGGACCUGCGUUGUAUUAGCUAGUUGGUGGGGUAACGGCUCACCAAGGCGACGAUACAUAGCCGACCUGAGAGGGUGAUCGGCCACACUGGGACUGAGACACGGCCCAGACUCCUACGGGAGGCAGCAGUAGGGAAUCUUCCGCAAUGGACGAAAGUCUGACGGAGCAAUGCCGCGUGAGUGAAGAAGGUUUUCGGAUCGUAAAGCUCUGUU
rnacentral:rRNA from 1 species